rnacentral:rRNA from 1 species
UGGGGAAUAUUGCACAAUGGGCGCAAGCCUGAUGCAGCCAUGCCGCGUGUAUGAAGAAGGCCUUCGGGUUGUAAAGUACUUUCAGUCGGGAGGAAGGUGUCAAGGUUAAUAACCUUGGCAAUUGACGUUACCGACAGAAGAAGCACCGGCUAACUCCGUGCCAGCAGCCGCGGUAAUACGGAGGGUGCAAGCGUUAAUCGGAAUUACUGGGCGUAAAGCGCACGCAGGCGGUUGAUUGAGUCAGAUGUGAAAUCCCCGGGCUUAACCCGGGAAUUGCAUCUGAUACUGGUCAGCUAGAGUCUUGUAGAGGGGGGUAGAAUUACAUGUGUAGCGGUGAAAUGCGUAGAGAUGUGGAGGAAUACCGGUGGCGAAGGCGGCCCCCUGGACAAAGACUGACGCUCAGGUGCGAAAGCGUGGGGAGCAAACAGG